rnacentral:tRNA from 1 species
GCGGUUGUAGCUCAGUAGGUUAGAGCACCAGAUUGUGGUUCUGGGGGUCGCCGGUUCGAGCCCGGUCAUCCGCC